UCUGGUUGAUCCUGCCAGUAGUGAUAUGCUUGUUUCAAAGAUUAAGCCAUGCAUGUCUAAGUAUAAGCGAACUUAUACAGUGAAACUGCGGAUGGCUCAUUAAAACAGUUUGAAUUUAUUUGAUGAAUGUAUGAGAAUACUACUUGGAUAACCGUAGUAAUUCUAGAGCUAAUACAUGCAACGACGCCCGACCGUUUCACUACGGAAGGGCUGUAUUUAUUGGAUACCAAAACCAUCCUUCCCUCGGGAAGUUUUGUUUGAUGAUUCACAAUAACUGAUCGGAUCGCCACUGUGGUGGCGACAGGUCAUUCAACAUUCUGCCCUAUCAGCUUUCGAUGGUUGUGUAGUGGACAACCAUGGCCAUAACGGGUAACGGAGAAUCAGGGUUCGGUUCCGGAGAAGGAGCUUGAGAAUUGGCUACUACAUCUAAGGAAGGCAGCAGGCGCGCAAAUUACCCAAUCCCGAUUCGGGGAGGUAGUGACAAAAAAUAACAAUACCGGGCCUUUUUGGGCUUGGUAAUUGGAAUGAGGGAGAGUUAAACGGACCAUCGAGUAUCCAUUGGAGGGCAAGUCUGGUGCCAGCAGCUGCGGUAAUACCAGCUCCAAUAGCGUAUAUUAAAGUUGUUGCAGUUAAAAAGCUCGUAGUUGGACUUGUGUGCGCUGUCCGCGGGUGGCCUGCGCCCAAAAGGGCGUUUCGGUUCGGCCCCGGUGGCGCCUUGAAAUCUGCAGCUGGGGGGACGUUGGCCUUAACUGGUCGGCGACCGCACGCCGGCUGCUCGGUUACUGUGAGAAAAUUAGAGUGUUCAAGGCAGGCAUUGGGUGCAAUUGAAUACAUUAGCAUGGAAUAAUAAAAUAUGGCUCCUGCCGUAUUUUGUUGGUUUUGACUGGUGGGAGUAAUGAUUGAUAGGGACGGUUGGGGGUGCUAGUAUUGAGCGGCCAGAGGUGAAAUUCAUGGAUUCGCUCAAGACUAACUUAUGCGAAAGCAUUCACCAAGGACGUCCUCUUUAGUCAAGAACGAAAGUUGGGGGAUCGAAGACGAUCAGAUACCGUCGUAGUCUCAACCAUAAACUAUGUCGACUUGGGAUCGGCGGUAGUUUUUUCAUUAAGACACUGUCGGGACCACGGGAGAAAUCAAAGUGUCUGGACUCUGGGGGAAGUAUGGUCGCAAGGCUGAAACUUGAGGGAAUUGACGGAAGGGCACCACCAGGAGUGGAGCCUGCGGCUUAAUUUGACCCAACACGGGGAAACUUACCAGGUCCAGAGAUGUAGAGGAUUGACAGAUUGAAGCUCUUUCUUGAUCACUUCGGUGGUGGUGCAUGGCC
rnacentral:rRNA from 1 species